rnacentral:lncRNA from 1 species
AACGGUAAGAAAUGCCUGGUAACACAGCGGUGGUAGGAUUUGUGUCUCCCAAAGCCAGGCCAUCAGAGUUUCUCACAGUGCUGUUAAUGCGCCCGCACCACACCGCGCAUGCGUGCAAUCCCGCAUCAUAAAUAACGGAUUUACAAGCUUAACUCCGACUCAGCAAUAGCACACGUGUGGAACGCGGCUGAGUGACUGUCACCAUGAGACCCUUAGCUCUGGCCUUGGAGGUUUCCUCAACCUGAGGCUGGGGCUUUGCAGGGUGGGCUGAAGAAAGCCUCUCUGCCUGGGCCUGACGUCUUGCCUAAUGAGCAGAAACACCCUUUUGGACUUAAGGAUCCUGAGCCCCCUGGCCACAAAUCACGAAGCAAAAGAAAUCAAGCAUUAAGGUUUUCCCCAGAUACUUAUUGACCGGAAUGGACUGGAAAUGUCCAGUCUACUAGCAAACAUCAAAGACAUCAGCAGCUGCAGACCAGUCCACUCAGCAGACAGCAUGCAUGAAUCAACAAGAGCAGUUCAAUCCAGAAGAAACCCCAAGGCUUGACAAUAGGCCCAAGUCAGCAGAUGCAGCAAGAAGCCACAGGCACCUCACUUCACGAGAAGUUUCUCUCUAUGAAGUCACUACACUCGAAGCUCAGCAACAUAAUGCCCCAGGAACAUUUGAAGUACCUAUUUAAUGAGAAGACUUCUGGAGAAGCCUAGGCACUCUGCUGGGCACAAGGGUUUCUCCAUAUUCAUACCAGAUGGGGAAGCAGGAAAAUGAACUCCAGAGAGGAGGAGACAAGAAGCACCAUCUCUGCAGACAGAGCCCUUCCUAAAGUGGAAGAUUCUAGAAGGCUGACCUCCGGGGCCAAGUCUGGACUGCGCAGGGUAGCCUGGGGAAGCUCUGCCGAACAACAAUAACAUGCACGGUCUGCCCAAGGCAUGUGGAGUGCAAGGCACUCUGAAAAUUGGGCUCAAAACAACUUCUUUAUUUGAGACAAAAAGCCCUUUGUGUGGGUCUUCCUCCCUCAGCCUACAGAGGAUUCGUGUUCAGUGAGGCAGCAGCUCCUGUCUCCCCAGAGCUGCCUCAGGUAGAGACACUGCCUGACUGCCAGUGGCCAUGCAUCUGUGACCAUUACACGGGCCUAAGUGGGUUUGGGAGCUUUACCUUAGGAAUUAAGUAAGAAAAA